rnacentral:tRNA from 1 species
UAGUUAAUGAACUUGCUAUAAGUAUAUAUUUUGAAAAUAUAAUAAAGAGACCUAUACCUCUCUAUUAACU